GGGACCGACUGUGUGACAUCGGGAAGUGAUUUAUCCCCCCGGUGUCCGGGUGUCCUAAUCAGUGAAGUAGAGAUGUUCAUGAUGACCUUAGAAACCAUAUGAAGAAGAGGAGCCACAAAAUGGAAGGAGAGCCACCACCAAUCAAAACAUACAUUUUGGACUUUAUAUCUCUCAAGGCUUGGUGAGAACACUUAGAGGAACGGGAUGAAUUGUGCGAGCAGGAAGCAAAAGGGGAAAUGCCUAAACAUCAUCUGGAUCUUCUGAACUACUUUUUACAAACCUUCAGAGGAGCAAUCGUGGAACCCCCAUGAGUCUCAUUCCUUCAGGGCAGGUGCCCCGUAGCCAUAUGAGUGAAUGGCUCUCCCACAGCCUUCUGUCCGUGCAAUGUCUUAGCAACGUCUUAAAUUGUUAGGGAUUUCUGAAUAAAUAAGACAUACU